AUUGAACGCUGGCGGCAUGCCUUACACAUGCAAGUCGAACGGCAGCAUGGAGGAGCUUGCUCCUCUGAUGGCGAGUGGCGAACGGGUGAGUAAAGCAUCGGAACGUACCGUGUAGUGGGGGAUAACGUAGCGAAAGUUACGCUAAUACCGCAUACGCACUGAGGUGGAAAGCAGGGGAUCGCAAGACCUUGCGCUAUACGAGCGGCCGAUGUCAGAUUAGCUAGUUGGUAGGGUAAAGGCCUACCAAGGCGACGAUCUGUAGCGGGUCUGAGAGGAUGAUCCGCCACACUGGGACUGAGACACGGCCCAGACUCCUACGGGAGGCAGCAGUGGGGAAUUUUGGACAAUGGGCGAAAGCCUGAUCCAGCCAUGCCGCGUGAGUGAAGAAGGCCUUCGGUUGGUAAACUGCUUUGUACGGAACGAAAAGACUCUGGUUAAUACCUGGGGUCCGAUGACGGUACCGUAAGAAUAAG
rnacentral:rRNA from 1 species